GGAUGUAGCUCAGAGGUAGAGUAUUUGCCUAGUAUGCACAAGGCCGUGGGUUCAAACACCAGCACAUCCA
rnacentral:tRNA from 1 species